ensembl:rRNA 5S_rRNA 5S ribosomal RNA
GCUUACGGCCAUACCACCUUAGGCACGCCCGAUCUCGUCUGAUCUCGGAAGCUAAGCAGGGUCGGGCCUGGUUAGUACUUGGAUGGGUGACCGCCUGGGAAUACCAGGUGCGGUAAGCA